CGUGUAGGCGGUUAGUUAAGUCUGGCGUGAAAGCUCUCGGCUAAACCGGGAGAGGUCGUUGGAUACUGGCAAACUAGAGGACGGUAGAGGCGUGUGGAAUUCCGGGUGUAGUGGUGAAAUGCGUAGAGAUCCGGAGGAACACCAGUGGCGAAGGCGACACGCUGGGCCGUACCUGACGCUAAAGCGCGACAGCAUGGGGAGCAAACGGGAUUAGAAACCCCGGUAGUCCAUGCCGUAAACGAUGCCAGCUAGGUGUUCAAGACGCGCAAGCGGCUGGGGUACCGAAGCAAACGCGAUAAGCUGGCCGCCUGGGGAGUACGGUCGCAAGGCUAAA
rnacentral:rRNA from 1 species